CGUAGGUGGCAAGCGUUGUCCGGACUUAUUGGGUUUAAAGGGUGCGUAGGCGGCUUUGUAAGUCAGUGGUGAAAUACUCCAGCUCAACUGGAGAGGUGCCAUUGAUACUGCAGAGCUAGAGUACUGAUGAGGUAGGCGGAAUGGACGGUGUAGCGGUGAAAUGCUUAGAUAUCGUCCAGAACACCGAUAGCGAAGGCAGCUUACUAAAGAGUAACUGACGCUGAGGCACGAAAGUGUGGGGAUCAAACAGGAUUAGAUACCCUGGUAGUCCACACUGUAAACGUUGAUCACUAGAUGUUGGCGAUACACUGCCAGCGUUCCAGCAAAAGCGAUAAGUGAUCCACCUGGGGAGUACGCCCGCAAGGGUG
rnacentral:rRNA from 1 species